UNACUCCAACCCCUGUGACAUACCACUUGUUGCCUCGGCGGAUCAGCCCGCUCCCGGUAAAACGGGACGGCCCGCCAGAGGACCCCUAAACUCUGUUUCUAUAUGUAACUUCUGAGUAAAACCAUAAAUAAAUCAAAACUUUCAACAACGGAUCUCUUGGUUCUGGCAUCGAUGAAGAACGCAGCAAAAUGCGAUAAGUAAUGUGAAUUGCAGAAUUCAGUGAAUCAUCGAAUCUUUGAACGCACAUUGCGCCCGCCAGUAUUCUGGCGGGCAUGCCUGUUCGAGCGUCAUUUCAACCCUCAAGCCCUCGGGUUUGGUGUUGGGGAUCGGCGAGCCCUUGCGGCAAGCCGGCCCCGAAAUCUAGUGGCGGUCUCGCUGCAGCCUCCAUUGCGUAGUAGUAAAACCCUCGCAACUGGAACGCGGCGCGGCCAAGCCGUUAAACCCCCAACUUCUGAAUGUUGACCUCGGAUCAGGUAGGAAUACCCGCUGAACUUAAGCAUAUCAAUAAGGCCGGAGGAA
rnacentral:rRNA from 1 species